GAUGAACGCUAGCGGCAGGCCUAAUACAUGCAAGACGAACGGUAAGUUGAGUAGCAAUACUUAGCCAAGAGUGUCGUACGGGUGCGUAACACGUAUGCAACCUACCCUAUACAGGAGGAUAGCCUAGGGAAACCUGGAUUAACCCUUCAUAGUAUUAUUGGAUGGCAUCAUUUGAUAAUUAAAACUGAGGUGGUAUAGGAUGGGCAUGCGUCUGAUUAGUUAGUUGGCGGGGUAAUGGCCCACCAAGACGAUGAUCAGUAGGGGUUCUGAGAGGAAGAUCCCCCACACUGGCACUGAGAUACGGGCCAGACUCCUACGGGAGGCAGCAGUAGGGAAUAUUGGUCAAUGGAUGCAAGUCUGAACCAGCCAUGCCGCGUGCAGGAAGAAGGCCCUUUCUGGGUUGUAAACUGCUUUGCCAGGGGAUAAAAUUUCCAUGCGUGGGAAACUGAAGGUACCUGGUGAAUAAGCACGGCUAACUACGUGCCAGCAGCCG
rnacentral:rRNA from 1 species